AACGAACCCAUAGGCAAACUCAGAAGAUGACGACCACGAUGAUUCGUCCCAAUUUUGCCCUCCAAAUCUGUCAAAAUUCCACCCUCUGCCACCGCCCCAACUUCCACCAGCUCCACCAAAAGGACCAUCACCGUCACCAUCACCACCCCAAAACCCGCUAUCUUCACCGAAUUCCUCGUAGCCUCCGCCGCUGGAUGAUCUCCGCCUCGUCCGCCGCUUCUUGCGAAGAAGAGUCCGGCGAGCGGUUAUAUGCGAGUUGGAUUUGACAGGCGGAGGAGCUAUUGCGUCCAAAAUAACGGCGGAGAUUUGGAGGAAUCCGGCGGAGAGAGCUAGGCUGCCAUUGGAGACACAAUUUUGUCGGUGAAUAAUCGAAUUCGUAAACCCUAGCCCUUGUUGUGUGGCUAUCGUUAAAGUAUCGGCGAUGACGGAAACAUCCAUCGAGAUUUCCGAUUCGAGGUACAAAAAUAAUAAAUAAGAAAGAGAUUUUUGAGAAUUGGGAAUUGGUGAUUGAGAAUGCGUUAUGGGUUGCGGGAUAUUUAUUUUCCCAGGAAAAAUGUCCAGGAAAAUCAAGGAAAGGGAAAACCAAAUUGGAAUGGGAAUUGGAUUCGGUGGAUAACUCGGACCAG
rnacentral:misc_RNA from 1 species